rnacentral:rRNA from 1 species
CACGUAGGCACCAAGCGUUGUCCGGAUUUAUUGGGCGUAAAGAGCUCGUAGGCGGUUCGGUAAGUCGGGUGUGAAAACUCUGGGCUCAACCCCAGAGCCGCCACCCGAUACUGCUGUGACUUGAGUUCGGUAGGGGAGCGGGGAAUUCCUGGUGUAGCGGUGAAAGUGCGCAGAUAUCAGGAGGAACACCAGUGGCGAAGGCGCCGCUCUGGGCCGAGACUGACGCUGAGACGCGAAAGCGUGGGGAGCGAACAGG